rnacentral:lncRNA from 1 species
AUGCUCAGCACCUGGAGAUGCUUUGAAUUCUCUGUCUUAGCUUGAAAGUAAUAAUUGGCAUGUUUCAUUUUAAUUGUUUGCCAAAUGGUAUAUGUUAUGGACACAUUUAGUAAGUGUGUGCUCUUCAGAGUCCCUAGGUGAGCUGGAAAGGCCAUCCAGGGAACAUUGCUUCAGAAACAAAUGUGAGAAAAAUCAAACAGCAGGGCACGAGUGGGGAACAUCUGUCAGAAAGAAGAAAGGAAAAUGUGAGUUGCUGCUUCUUCUGGGUGACUUUAAGAAUGAUCGUCUGUCCAUUGAAAAGUACACAAUCUUUUAGAAACAAACCAGUAAGGAGUCUCAAUUGAAGCACAUGGGAAUCUUAUGCAGCCCUUUCUGCUAUGAGCAGGGAGAUAAAAUCAAGCAUUGUCAUGCUGGGAUCCUCUCCCUCUCUGCUACACUUCUGUGGAGUGUAACCAAAGCAAGGAUC